rnacentral:rRNA from 1 species
CGCGUAGGCGGCCUGUUAAGUCAGAUGUGAGAGCCCCGGGCUCAACUUGGGAAUUGCAUUUGAUACUGGCAGGCUCGAGUGUGGUAGAGGGAAGUGGAAUUCCGGGUGUAGCGGUGAAAUGCGUAGAUAUCCGGAGGAACACCAGUGGCGAAGGCGGCUUCCUGGACCAACACUGACGCUGAGGUGCGAAAGCGUGGGGAGCAAACA